rnacentral:rRNA from 1 species
GGGACGAACGCUGGCGGUGUGCUUAACACAUGCAAGUGGUGCGACGAACCAGAGCUUGCUCUGGGGCAAAGCCGCGAACGGGUGAGUAACACGUGGGUAAUCUACCCCGAUGACCGGGACAACCCGAGGAAACUCGGGCUAAUACCGGAUGUGGUACACAGGCUUAAGCCUGUUUACUAAAGGUAGCUUCGGCUUCCGCAUUGGGAGGGCCCGCGGCCCAUUAGCUUGUUGGUGGGUCAAGGCCUACCAAGGCAACGAUGGGUAGCUGGUCUGAGAGGACGAUCAGCCACACUGGGACUGAGACACGGCCCAGACUCCUACGGGAGGCAGCAGUGGGAAUCUUGCGCAAUGCGACGAAAGCGUGACGCAGCAACACCGCGUGAGGGAAGACGGCCUUAGGGUUGUAAACCUCUUCAGAGUAGGGACGAAGGUGAUGACGGUGAAGUAGCCGAGUGU